GUGAAUUUGCUACGAAGUGUGGGCUCUUCAUUUUUUAAUCCUUUUCUUUGAUAGUAUAGCAGGAGUUGUGCCUCUUUCAGUCUCAACGGCAUUAAGAAAGUCACAUUAGUUUAGAAGAUUGUUGUUAUUAUACAUGGUCAGGACUAAAAUAUAGGACGAUAGGUGAGUUUGGACCUUUUUAAACUCUAGCUUCCUUGGAAAAGUGUUUUUUUUAACAAGUAAUAACUAUAUUCAAGAGGCACAAAAGGGGGUGACAUCCUAAGCAAAGUAGACAGACAAGAAGGCAGGUUGAUCUCACUAACAGAAGCAAGUCUAGUCUAUAAACCAACAAUGACAAAAACUCUUAAAAAGUCCUAAACUAAAUUCCCCACAAAAACAAUGAUGACUCCUCGGAAACACUUGGUUUCACUCUUCUCCUUCUAUGAACCUAACUCACUCCGUGGUCUGUAGAAGCUUCGCUGCCACAAAGGUUCCGUAACAAACUUAAUGUAAUAGCAAAUUCCGAUACAAGGACUGAACUGUGAACCUCCCACUACUGUGAAGACUCAACCUCACAUAGUCCUCACUGUAACAUGUUUUUGCAUUUUCUCUCUCCGCUUAAGACAUGUAGCUUUGUUUUUGAACAUUUUAAAAAAAUAAACCUCAGAUAUUUUAAUAUUUUGGUCCAGAGAAUCUUAAUAGAAAAUAACACACAAAGUAUCAAGACAGUUGUGUUGAUUAACCCAUAAAUAUGAUUUAUUUGUCAUCAUCUCGGCUCAGGGAUAAUAUUCGUCUGUCUGUCUCGUACAUGGUAGAAAGUAGGACCAUAUUCAUCGUCUUCCUUUUGGAAUAGUUGUUAAAUCAACAUGCAAUAUGAGACCACAGGUCCUGCCCUGCCUAAGUUUAAUUCCCCUUGUAAAAGAUGAUUAUGCUCAAAAGUCUAGGAGGAGGAGUUUAUGACUUUUGCCUAUCAAUAUGUGUGUGGACUGUGGUUAAGAAUAAAAGAAAAUUGAAAUGGAAAAGACAUUCUAAAGGAGUGAUUAUGUGGAAUUAGAAAAUAAUAUCCUUUACCUUUGUAGAAGCUGGGUUUGACUGGAAUAUCGGAUAUUAUUCUGAGAAAAUCUUGCAGAAAACUACGCUCAAAAUAUUCUUAUACUCAAGAAAAUACUCACAAUACUUUAGAAUAAGAACUUCUGAAUUUUGAAGGUGGUGUGAUUUAGGAUGGAGGUUUGCCCUCCUUUUAUAGCACAAAUCGGAGGAACAAAUUUCAGCAGCAUGCCUAACUUUCCUCAUUUUUCAAAGCUUAACUUCUUACUUUCAACAUGGGUGGGGGCCACCCUUUGAAACAACUUGCAGACGAUAUCAUCUUCACCAACCAAUUGGCCUAAUUCACAUUUGCCUAAUUCAUAAAUUCCAUGGUUGGGACCCUUAACAUUUUGAAAAAAAAUACUUUGCAGACAAUUAAAAUGGCCACCCACCAAGACAAAGCACAUGUAGGAAACUUAAUUACUUCCGCCCACCAGUUUAGAAAACAUUCAAGGAAAAUUA
rnacentral:lncRNA from 1 species